rnacentral:rRNA from 1 species
GCAUAUCAAUAAGCGGAGGAACAGAAACUAACAAGGAUUCCCUUAGUAACGGCGAGUGAACCGGGAUCCCAGGCUCGAGACCAUAAUCCCACAGCGGGAGUUGUAGUCAAGGACUGGUUUUGCUAGCUUUAAAAAGACCUGGUCAAGUCCCUUGGAAUAGGGCGCCAGAGAGAGUGACAGCCUCGUAGUGCUGGGUCUUAUAAAGUGUUAUGCAACUAGCUCCCAGAGUCGGGUUGUUUGGGAAUGCAGCCCUAAGCGGGAGGUACGCACCUUCUAAAGCUAAAUAUUCAGGCAAGAGACCGAUAGCGAACAAGUACCGUGAGGGAAAGUUGAAAAGCACUCUGGAGAGAGAGUGAAAAGCACGUGAAACCAUUAAUAGGGAAGCGGAAAGUGAGGGGGACUGAAGCAUACUUGUGUGCUCGCCCAAGGCCAGGGCGAGUGGGCGGAGAAGGUGCUGGGAAAGGUGGCUCUGCAUUAGUGGAGUGUUAUAGACCCAGCACACUUGACGCGUCCGCUCGGCCUGAGGAAAAAACUAAUUAAUUUAGCGACACCUGGCUUUUUUUUUUACAAGCUGGCGGUCUGUGGUACGAGUCCUGUUGCGAGGCAAGACCAGACAGCAUGCUGACUGGUUGCGCAGUUUAUCGCGGCAGGCGCCCUUGUGCAGCGUCCGUAGUGUCAAUGGCCUUUUGGGAA